UACGGGGGGGGCAAGCGUUGUUCGGAAUUACUGGGCGUAAAGGGUUCGUAGGUGGCCGGCUCAGUCAGACGUGAAAUCCCUCAGCUUAACUGGGGAACUGCGUCUGAUACUGGUUGGCUCGAGUGCAGGAGAGGAAUGCGGAAUUCCAGGUGUAGCGGUGAAAUGCGUAGAUAUCUGGAGGAACACCGGUGGCGAAGGCGGCGUUCUGGACUGCAACUGACACUGAGGAACGAAAGCCAGGGGAGCAAACGGG
rnacentral:rRNA from 1 species